AGCGGCAGACGGGAUAGUAACACGUGGGAACGUACCCUUCAGUUCGGAACAACCCAGGGAAACUUGGGCUAAUACCGAAUACGUCCGUAAGGAGAAAGAUUUAUCGCUGAAGGAUCGGCCCGCGUCUGAUUAGCUAGUUGGUGAGGUAACGGCUCACCAAGGCGACGAUCAGUAGCUGGUCUGAGAGGAUGAUCAGCAUCACUGGGACUGAGACACGGCCCAG
rnacentral:rRNA from 1 species